rnacentral:tRNA from 1 species
AAGGCUUUAAGUUAAAUCAAACUGAUAACCUUCAAAGCUAUUAAUAAAGAAAUUCUUUAAGCCUUA